GUCACUUCGGUGGCGAGUACAGUGGCGCACGGGUGAGUAACGCGUAGAUGAUCUACCCUUCAGUCUGGGACAACUCUUGGAAACGGGAGCUAAUACCGGAUAAAACCUUCGGGUUGAAAGAUUUAUCGCUGGGGGAUGAGUCUGCGUACCAUUAGCUUGUUGGUGGGGUAACGGCCUACCAAGGCGACGAUGGUUAGCGGGUCUGAGAGGACGAUCCGCCACACUGGAACUGAGACACGGUCCAGACUCCUACGGGAGGCAGCAGUAGGGAAUAUUGCGCAAUGGGGGCAACCCUGACGCAGCAAUGCCGCGUGAGUGAAGAAGGCCUUCGGGUCGUAAAGCUCUUUUAUGGGGGAAGAUGAUGACGGUACCCCAUGAAUAAGCACCGGCUAACUACGUGCCAGCAGCCGCGGUAAUACGUAGGGUGCGAGCGUUGUUCGGAAUUACUGGGCGUAAAGGGCGUGCAGGCGGAUUGGCAAGCCGGAGGUGAAAGCCCGGGGCUCAACCCCGGAGGGUCUUUCGGAACUGCCAGUCUUGAGAGGGUCAGGGGCCAGCGGAAUUCCUGGUGUAGAGGUGAAAUUCGUAGAGAUCAGGAGGAACACCGGCGGCGAAAGCGGCUGGCUGGGGCCACUCUGACGCUGAGGCGCGA
rnacentral:rRNA from 1 species